rnacentral:piRNA from 1 species
UCUGUGAUUAAAUUGUGGUUA